UCAUAGGAUAAAUNAACAACGCCUCGAACUGCGCUAAGUAUUGUGACUUGCGGAAUUCAGUGCAUCAUCGAAUCUUCGAACGCACCUUGCG
rnacentral:rRNA from 1 species